rnacentral:rRNA from 1 species
GGGGAAUUUUGCGCAAUGGGCGAAAGCCUGACGCAGCAACGCCGCGUGGAGGAUGAAGGUUUUCGGAUCGUAAACUCCUUUCAAUAGUGAUGAAAUUGACAGUAGCUAUAAAAGAAGCCCCGGCUAAAUACGUGCCAGCAGCCGCGGUAAUACGUAUGGGGCAAGCGUUAUCCGGAUUCAUUGGGCGUAAAGAGCGCGUAGGUGGAUUGUUAAGCGAGAUGUGAAAACCGGGGGCUCAACCCGCGGCCUGCAUCGCGAACUGGCAGUCUUGAGUUUGGUAGAGGAGUGUGGAAUUCCUAGUGUAGCGGUGGAAUGCGCAGAUAUUAGGAGGAACACCAGUGGCGAAGGCGGCACUCUGGGCCAAGACUGACACUGAGGCGCGAAAGCUAGGGGAGCAAAC